rnacentral:rRNA from 1 species
UGAGGAAUACUGGUCAAUGGGCGAGAGCCUGAACCAGCCAAGUAGCGUGCAGGAUGACGGCCCUAUGGGUUGUAAACUGCUUUUGCGCGGGGAUAAAGUGCGCCACGUGUGGCUCAUUGCAGGUACCGCGCGAAUAAGGAUCGGCUAACUCCGUGCCAGCAGCCGCGGUAAUACGGAGGAUCCGAGCGUUAUCCGGAUUCAUUGGGUUUAAAGGGUGCGCAGGCGGGCCUGCAAGCCCGCGGUGAAACCCCGGGGCUCAACCCCGGGCCUGCCGCGGGAACUGCCGGCCUUGAGUCGCGGCGAGGGCUGCGGAACGCGGGGUGUAGCGGUGAAAUGCUUAGAUACCCCGCAGAACUCCGAUUGCGAAGGCAGCAGCCCAGGGGCGUACUGACGCUGAGGCACGAAGGCAUGGGGAUCGAACAGGAUUA